AUUGAACGCUGGCGGCAUGCUUUACACAUGCAAGUCGAACGGUAACAGGGAGCUUGCUCCGCUGACGAGUGGCGAACGGGUGAGUAAUAUAUCGGAACGUACCCAAGAGUGGGGGAUAACGUAGCGAAAGUUACGCUAAUACCGCAUACGAUCUAAGGAUGAAAGCAGGGGACCUUCGGGCCUUGUGCUCCUGGAGCGGCCGAUGUCUGAUUAGCUAGUUGGUGAGGUAAAGGCUCACCAAGGCGACGAUCAGUAGCUGGUCUGAGAGGACGACCAGCCACACUGGAACUGAGACACGGUCCAGACUCCUACGGGAGGCAGCAGUGGGGAAUUUUGGACAAUGGGCGCAAGCCUGAUCCAGCAAUGCCGCGUGAGUGAAGAAGGCCUUCGGGUUGUAAAGCUCUUUUGUCAGGGAAGAAACGGGAGUGGCUAAUAUCCAAUCCUAAUGACGGUACCUGAAGAAUAAGCACCGGCUAACUACGUGCCAGCAGCCGCGGUAACAC
rnacentral:rRNA from 1 species